UACCCGCUGGAAACUAGCAUAUCAUAGCGAGAAAAGAAACUAACAAGGAUUCCCCUAGUAACUGCGAGUGAAGCGGGAAAAGCUCAAAUUUAAAAUCUGGCAGUCAUUGGCUGUCCGAGUUGUAAUCUAGAGAAGUGUUACCCGCGCUGGACCGUGUACAAGUCUCCUGGAAUGGAGCGUCAUAGAGGGUGAGAAUCCCGUCUCUGACAUGGACUACCAGGGCUUUGUGGUAUGCUCUCAAAGAGUCGAGUUGUUUGGGAAUGCAGCUCAAAAUGGGUGGUAAAUUCCAUCUAAAGCUAAAUAUUGGCGAGAGACCGAUAGCGAACAAGUACCGUGAGGGAAAGAUGAAAAGAACUUUGGAAAGAGAGUUAAACAGUACGUGAAAUUGCUGAAAGGGAAACGCUUGAAGUCAGUCACGUUGGCCAGGGAUCAGCCUUGCAUCUGCAUGGUGUACUUUCUGGUUGACGGGUCAGCAUCAAUUUUGACCAUUGGAAAAAGGCUUGGGGAAUGUGGCAGUUUCGGCUGUGUUAUAGCCCCUUGUCAUAUACAAUGGUUGGGAUUGAGGAACUCAGCACGCCACAAGGCCGGGUUUCGACCACGUUCGUGCUUAGGAUGCUGGCAUAAUGGCUUUAAGCGACCCGUCUUGAAACACGGACCAAGGAGUCUAACAUGCCUGCAAGUAUUUGGGUGGAAAACCCGAGUGCGCAAUGAAAGUGAAAGUUGAGAUCCCUGUCGUGGGGAGCAUCGACGCCCGGACCAGAACUUUUGGGACGGAUCCGCGGUAGAGCAUGUAUGUUGGGACCCGAAAGAUGGUGAACUAUGCCUGAAUAGGGUGAAGCCAGAGGAAACUCUGGUGGAGGCUCGUAGCGAUUCUGACGUGCAAAUCGAUCGUCAAAUUUGGGUAUAGGGGCGAAAGACUAAUCGAACCAUCC
rnacentral:rRNA from 1 species